AUGUAUAACUUCACUUGUUUAUAUUUCAGUAAAAUCAUUGUCCAUACUUUAUUUGUAAAACUUGUCACUGUCACUUUAUUUUUUAGAUGCUUUUAUUUUGAAAAGUACGUUUUAUUUUGGUACUCAUGGCACCGGCACAUUUCUGCAGACUCGCGCUACUUUCCUCAGUUAGCUUCAGGCCCCACUGAGGAGAAGUGUGAAGUUAGAAAGCUGAUGAAGCCAUUUCCUGCUUUAAUUAUUAUAUUCUGUUUUGCACAGGUAUGUGGGUAUUCUUUUUGUAUUUUGUAACUGUAAAUUGUAUUGUUUGUUAUGUAAGUGUAAAUUAAUGGUUAUAUUUGUGUAUAUUGGUUUACAAGGAAAAACUGGUUUGCCACCAUGGAUAGAUGUAUAUCUGUUAAUUGUAUUAUUUAGAACUCUGUAUACUUUCCUGAGUUAGCUUCAGGCCCCACUGAGGAGAAGUGUGAAGUUAGAAAGCUGAUGAAGCCAUUUCCUGCUUUAAUUAUUAUAUUCUGUUUUGCACAGAGAAUAAAUCCUGGUUGGCAAGAAAGAA